UACAGAGGGUGCGAACGUUGCUCGGAAUUACUGGGCGUAAAGCGCAUGUAGGCGGAUCCAUAAGUCGGGCGUGAAAUCCCCGGGCUCAACCCGGGAACUGCGUCCGAUACUGGUAGGCUUGAAUUCGGGAGAGGGAUGCGGAAUUCCAGGUGUAGCGGUGAAAUGCGUAGAUAUCUGGAGGAAUACCGGUGGCGAAGGCGGCAUCCUGGACCGGCAUUGACGCUGAUGAGCGAAAGCUAGGGGAGCAAACGGG
rnacentral:rRNA from 1 species